UACCUGAUGAAGCUAGGGCUAGUGCAAU
rnacentral:piRNA from 1 species